AUUGAACGCUGGCGGCAGGCCUAACACAUGCAAGUCGAGCGGACGAAGGGAGCUUGCUCCUGGAUUCAGCGGCGGACGGGUGAGUAAUGCCUAGGAAUCUGCCUUGUAGUGGGGGAUAACGUCCGGAAACGGGCGCUAAUACCGCACACGUCCUGAGGGAGAAAGUGGGGGAUCUUCGGACCUCACGCUAUCUGAUGAGCCUACGUCGGAUUAGCUAGUUGGUGGGGUAAAGGCCUACCAAGGCGACGAUCCGUAACUGAUCUGAGAGGAUGAUCAGUCACACUGGAACUGAGACACGGUCCAGACUCCUACGGGAGGCAGCAGUAGGGAAUAUUGGGCAAUGGGCGAAAGCCUGAUCGAGCCAUGCCGCGUGUGUGAAGAAGGUCUUCGGAUUGUAAAACACUUUAAGUUGGGAGGAAGAGCAGUAAGUUAAUACAUUGCUGUUUUGACGUUACCAACAGAAUAAGCACCGGCUAACUUCGUG
rnacentral:rRNA from 1 species